UAACUUGAGAGUUUGAUCCUGGCUCAGAACGAACGCUGGCGGCAGGCCUAACACAUGCAAGUCGA
rnacentral:rRNA from 1 species